AGGACGAACGCUGGCGGCGUGCUUAACACAUGCAAGUCGAGCGGUAAGGCUCCUUCGGGAGUACACGAGCGGCGAACGGGUGAGUAACACGUGAGCAAUCUGCCCUUCACUUCGGGAUAACUCCGGGAAACCGGUGCUAAUACCGAAUACGACCACUUCAGGCAUCUGAUGGUGGUGGAAAGUUCCGGCGGUGAAGGAUGAGCUCGCGGCCUAUCAGCUUGUUGGUGAGGUAACGGCCCACCAAGGCAACGACGGGUAGCCGGCCUGAGAGGGUGACCGGCCACGACUGGGACUGAGACACGGCCCAGACUCCUACGGAGGCAGCAGUGGGAAUAUUGGACAAUGGGCGAAAGCCUGAUCCAGCAACGCCGCGUGAGGAUGACGGCUUCGGGUUGUAAACCUCUUUCAGCGGGACGAAGCGAAAGUGACGGUACCCGCAAGAAGAACGCGAACCCGGACCAACUACCGUGCCGAGCCAGCCGAC
rnacentral:rRNA from 1 species